UACGGAGGGGGCAAGCGUUAUUCGGAAUUAUUGGGCGUAAAGAGCUCGUAGGCGGCUUGUCACGUCGAUUGUGAAAGCCCGAGGCUUAACCUCGGGUCUGCAGUCGAUACGGGCUAGCUAGAGUGUGGUAGGGGAGAUCGGAAUUCCUGGUGUAGCGGUGAAAUGCGCAGAUAUCAGGAGGAACACCGGUGGCGAAGGCGGAUCUCUGGGCCAUUACUGACGCUGAGGAGCGAAAGCGUGGGGAGCGAACAGG
rnacentral:rRNA from 1 species